AUAAAAGUCAAGUCUGCUGCAUGCAUUGUGCGUCUUUCAGUCCACAAACAACAAAAUAAAAGUACAUCAUUAAAUCCUCAAGAUUUAAGAGAGAUCAUUUUUCUCCUUCAUCAAAAUCCAGUGGCUACGAAACAUAAAUUAGAUCCUUGCCAUAGAUGCUCUUGAAAUGAAGGUUUAAUGAUUAUUUUUGACACUCUGGUGCAAUCAUCAACUGUGCAAAAACAAACUAAAAUAAACAUUUCCUCAUUUUUUCAUCAUGAAUGGGGAAAAAGCCUGAAGGUAACGCAUCUCAGAUCUCUCAGAUGCUGAAGUUGAGAUGGUGAGGAUUUUGUAACAUUGUGAACUGCUCCAGUAGCCUGGUUUUGAAGGUGGCCAAGAUGAAGAAUGAUAGAAAGAAGACCUCUCCAAGAAAGCAGGAAGUAAAGGGUACAUUUAAAGGGAGAUCUGGAGUGCCUGUUCAGCUUGGAGAAGAAGAUGAAAUAGUACCCCACCAAAUCGAUGAAUCGACUUCUCCGAGGAUUCUUCCAGAGGACUGGGAAGGGCGACUUGGGAUUGCUCUCAUACAUAAGGACCCCACGCUACCUUCUGACAGAGGUCAUGAAGACAAGGAGGCUCGUGAGUACACGUUUUGCUGCCAACCCUUUAUAGUGCCGGUUUUAAGAGGGCCUCACAAAUAUAUAUUAUCCAAAUUAUAAAUAUAUAUACAUAACAGUUGUAAAAAGUGAAAUGCACGUUGUCAAAAUUUGUUUCUUUUGACAGAAAUUAUA
rnacentral:lncRNA from 1 species